rnacentral:rRNA from 1 species
AGACCCGAAACCCGGUGAUCUAGCCAUGGGCAGGUUGAAGGUUGGGUAACACUAACUGGAGGACCGAACCGACUAAUGUUGAAAAAUUAGCGGAUGACCUGUGGCUGGGGGUGAAAGGCCAAUCAAACCGGGAGAUAGCUGGUUCUCCCCGAAAGCUAUUUAGGUAGCGCCUCGUGAAUUCAUCUCCGGGGGUAGAGCACUGUUUCGGCUAGGGGGCCAUCCCGGCUUACCAACCCGAUGCAAACUGCGAAUACCGGAGAAUGUUAUCACGGGAGACACACGGCGGGUGCUAACGUCCGUCGUGAAGAGGGAAACAACCCAGACCGCCAGCUAAGGUCCCAAAGUCAUGGUUAAGUGGGAAACGAUGUGGGAAGGCCCAGACAGCCAGGAUGUUGGCUUAGAAGCAGCCAUCAUUUAAAGAAAGCGUAAUAGCUCACUGGUCGAGUCGGCCUGCGCGGAAGAUGUAACGGGGCUAAACCAUGCACCGAAGCUGCGGCAGCGACACUGUGUGUUGUUGGGUAGGGGAGCGUUCUGUAAGCCUGUGAAGGUGGCCUGUGAGGGUUGCUGGAGGUAUCAGAAGUGCGAAUGCUGACAUAAGUAACGAUAAAGCGGGUGAAAAGCCCGCUCGCCGGAAGACCAAGGGUUCCUGUCCAACGUUAAUCGGGGCAGGGUGAGUCGACCCCUAAGGCGAGGCCGAAAGGCGUAGUCGAUGGGAAACGGGUUAAUAUUCCCGUACUUGGUGUUACUGCGAAGGGGGGACGGAGAAGGCUAUGUUGGCCGGGCGAC